GUUGGGUGUGGCGAAAUAGUAGAAGGUAAUAAUGACUAAAAUUUGGGCAGCAAACAAAAACUAAAUUUCAAAACUAGCUCUCUUUUUUUUCACAAUUUUUUUUUCAAAUUUUUUUUUCAAAAUUUUUUUUUCACAACUUGAUAUUCAAUCUUUUAAGUUUGAAUGGAAACUAGUUUUUUUUUGAAUUUUUUUUGAAUUUUUUUUCGAGUUUUUUUUCGAGAAACUACUAUACCGUAAUGCCGACAACGUCGAUUCUUACUCCAAAUUUGCUAGCUCUGAUACCAAUUUGAUACGAGCUCGUCUCGUGAUGUUUUGAGUCGUAUGUGUCGCCUAAUCGUGAAUUGAGUAAGGAUGGAUUCGUUUUGGUUUUAAAAUGAAACAAAAUAGAGAUAAUGGCUUCAAACAAAG
rnacentral:lncRNA from 1 species